UUUAAGCCAACACAGGCCACUCGCUCUUCUUCCUAGUUUUCAGUUUAACUCGGGAGGACACCAAGUUGAACUACCUUUAGGGAUCCGAUCUCACACUUGGAGGCACCAAAUCUCAUGAAAGAGGUAAAAAAUGAAAUCUCUCAAAACUAAAGCUCUCUCCUUGUCCUCAUGGCAUACUAGGGUUGCCAAGUCUCAAGAGUUUUAGUCUCCCACAGGGUCACAGGAGCAGAAGGGACAGCAAGUCAGGCAAGAACUUUAGCGACACCAUCGGAGUGCCUGGCUGAUGAGGCUACUUAGGGGGAAGUGCAUGGAAACACGGAUCAGGGCCUGACUGACAGCCAGGAAGGGGUGGAGCCUUCACUUCUAUGUAAGUUCCCAGACUAAGCUGUUGUGGUCUAUGAGAGGGAAGAGGGUGAAUGUCAACACACCACACACUUUCAGUCCUCCAUACCAUGCUUUGGAGAAUUUCUAACAUGCUGCCUGAACUGAGUAAACAAGUUCAGGAGACUCACAUCUCUGACAUGCAUUUAUAUGCUUCUUCCAAAGCCCUUUUUCUCUCUGGCAUCAUCCCAAAUCUUGUCACUGAACUACUGUGCAGGAGAAGAACCUAGGAGAUCCCUCAGCCCCAAGCUGUGGUUUAAUCUCUCACUCUCGCACAUCCAGAAACAUUUCCCAUCAAUUAUCCAAUAUCAAAGAACAGAUAACAAGCAGAAAAGGGAGCCCAAUGUAGGCCAUGCCUGUAAGACACGAAAAACACUUGGCAAGACAGAUCACGGAGCAAAAGCCACAUGCUACAGUGAAGGGUGAAAAACUGCCGAGAUACACCUGCUGGCCAGAGUGGAGAGGAAAUGUGGGAAAGUUCAACAGAAGAAUUUAUAGUUAUGGAGUAUAAAAGACAAAUUCAACAGUGCAACUCCAGCAAAGAAAAAUCCUUUCAAAUGAGCUCAAAUAGGGGAUGAAGUCACAAGGGUGCCCUUUACAUCCUGAACCCUUGCUUAAGUGCCUUCCUGACUUUUAUGACAGUAGAGGCUGAGUUAUGGAGUGAUCACUGGCACAGGGGGGAAACAUGUUUAUGUUCAGAAUUGCCCCUCUAAACGGCAACUGUUUGUGAAUGAGAUGGAACUCGAAGAUGGUAUCAAAAACAGAGUUCCAUAUGGUGG